UUAAGGGUCCAACUGGAGGUCCCCUCGCCGCCACGGAGGCUAGAUUUGCUUAGGUGGCUUGUCCAGCGUGGAGUGGUGGGAGUUAUGGCGCCAUUAGCAGGCAUAUGGCUUCACAAUUUAGCGCUCGAAAGACUAAUCUUCUACGCAUAUGCUCUUUCGGAAGGAGUAAAAAUCCUGUUAUGUAAGGAGUAAACUCCAUUUCUUUAUCUCCCGUCCUCAAACUCGAGCAUAUCAGUUAGGGUGAGAUGGGCUAGGCGAGGCAGGACGAAGGCGGCGACAAUCGGUUGGCAGGGGAUGGGAUCGAGGAGCAGCGCGGUUGACUGAAGUUGACUCUCCUCCGGCGAAUCUAUCGCUGCAUCGCCAUCCCGAAUGUGGAGCGCCAUGGCUGGGAGAUUGCGGGCGGAAGGUGAACCGCCCCAAGUGUAUGGGGCGGAUUCUACUGCUUUCACGGUAGAGGUACAUCAUGGAGGAUUCUUCUGUGGCAUUGGUUAGAAUCGUGCUUACUUUAAUGAGAAGGUCUCCUGGUUUGAUUAUUGCAAAGUCGAGUUUUGGUCUUUCAUGAGGAUUAAGGAGAUCACAUGGAUGCUUAAUUAUGGGAUAGGGGGCAGCAAUGGAAAUAAACUGUCAAAAUAUGGUGUCAUAAUCCACUGCAGCCAUUGUCGAGAUACUGGGCAUAACAUAACCACAAGAACAAAAAGAACCCAACUCCAUGUGCUGAUCCUACAUAGGCUGAAACUAUUGAAGAACCAGUCAUUACCCAGGUAGUUUUCUUUUUUUUAGCGGGUAACCCAGGUAAUAGUUUUCUAACUAUUUUGCAAGUCAAUCUGUUAAAUCAAUUUUCUUCAUUUUAACCAAGUCUGAACAACUUAUAGGAGGUUCAUCAACCUGACCCAACAAGUAGGCAGGCUGGAGCUGGAGUGGUGUGAGAGAAAAACACUGUUACCUGGCUGGUGGCUGGAGGCUGGAGUUGGAGUGGUGUGAGAGGGAAUUACUGUAGGGGUGGAGGCCUACCCACCAGCCGAACACGGUGAUUGUCACGGCUUACAAUUCCUAUGGUGUCUCAAAUGCAAUAAGAGGCCACAUAAUGCAGAAGGCCAGACAUUGUACCUGUCCCAUUACUUGACAGUGCUUACAUCCUCUCCAACAUUCCAUCAGCAAGGCCAGCUCCACUUACUACAGCAACCAAGUCUGGAAGAGUGUCAAGGCCAUCAGCUAAGAUGAAGGCUACAAAACCACCAACGAAAAAGAAGGGUACAACACUUCAAUCAAGAAGUGCAAGGCUGGACUAGGACAUACAUGAUCCAGAUCCAAGAUGAAGGCUCUGGCCAACCUUUUGUGGAUGAUAGUUGUCUUUUGUGCAGUUAUAAACACCUGCAAACAUCUUUAGUGGAUGAUAAUUGUCUUUUGUAUAUGGAAAUGAUACCUGUAAACUGGUGGCCUGUGAUGAAAUUUCCCUUCAACGUUUGAAAAAGGGGAAAGAACUAAACAAGCUGUUUU